rnacentral:rRNA from 1 species
UUGGACAAUGGGCGAAAGCCUGAUCCAGCCAUGCCGCGUGCAGGAUGAAGGCCUUCGGGUUGUAAACUGCUUUUGUACGGAACGAAAAAGUCUUCUCUAAUACAGGGGGCGAAUGACGGUACCGUAAGAAUAAGCACCGGCUAACUACGUGCCAGCAGCCGCGGUAAUACGUAGGGUGCGAGCGUUAAUCGGAAUUACUGGGCGUAAAGCGUGCGCAGGCGGUUAUAUAAGACAGAUGUGAAAUCCCCGGGCUCAACCUGGGAACUGCAUUAGUGACUGUAUAGCUAGAGUGCGGCAGAGGGGGAUGGAAUUCCGCGUGUAGCAGUGAAAUGCGUAGAUAUGCGGAGGAACACCGAUGGCGAAGGCAAUCCCCUGGGCCUGCACUGACGCUCAUGCACGAAAGCGUGGGGAGCAAACAGGAUUAGAUACCCUGGUAGUCCACGCCCUAAACGAUGUCAACUGGUUGUUGGGUCUUCACUGACUCAGUAACGAAGCUAACGCGUGAAGUUGACCGCCUGGGGAGUACGGCCGCAAGGUUAAAACUCAAAGGAAUUGACGGGGACCCGCACAAGCGGUGGAUGAUGUGGUUUAAUUCGAUGCAACGCGAAAAACCUUACCCACCUUUGACAUGUACGGAAGGGCGCAUAGACGCGAAUGUGCUCCAAAGAGAA